rnacentral:rRNA from 1 species
UGGGGAAUAUUGGACAAUGGGCGCAAGCCUGAUCCAGCCAUGCCGCGUGGGUGAAGAAGGCCUUCGGGUUGUAAAGCCCUUUUGUUGGGAAAGAAAAGCAGUCGGUUAAUACCCGAUUGUUCUGACGGUACCCAAAGAAUAAGCACCGGCUAACUUCGUGCCAGCAGCCGCGGUAAUACGAAGGGUGCAAGCGUUACUCGGAAUUACUGGGCGUAAAAAAGCGUGCGUAGGUGGUGGUUUAAGUCUGUUGUGAAAGCCCCUGGGCUCAACCUGGGAAUUGCAGUGGAUACUGGGUCACUAGAGUGUGGUAGAGGGUAGCGGAAUUCCCGGUGUAGCAGUGAAAUGCGUAGAGAUCGGGAGGAACAUCCGUGGCGAAGGCGGCUACCUGGACCAACACUGACACUGAGGCACGAAAGCGUGGGGAGCAAACAGGAUUAGAUACCCUGGUAGUCCACGCCCUAAACGAUGCGAACUGGAUGUUGGGUGCAAUUUGGCACGCAGUAUCGAAGCUAACGCGUUAAGUUCGCCGCCUGGGGAGUACGGUCGCAAGACUG